GAUGAACGCUGGCGGCGUGCCUAACACAUGCAAGUCGAGCGCUCAGAUGAGGAGCUUGUUCCUCUGACGUUUGCGGCGGACGUGUGAGUAACAUGUGGAUCAUCUACCUUUCAUUCUGGUAAAACUCCGGGACACCUGCUCUAACACCGUAUACUAUAUUCAACCCCUUGGUUCUGUAGUGAAGGACGGUUUUGCUGUCACUUAUAGUCGGAUCCGGGCCGCAUUAGCUAGUUGGUAGGGUAACGGCUUACCAUGGCAACUAUGCGUAGCCGACCUGAGAGGGGGAUCGGCCACACGGGAAAUGAGACACGGGACAGGCUCCUACGUGAGGCGGCAGUAGGGAAUCUUGCGCAAUGGGCGAAAGCCUGACGGAGCAACGCGGCGUGAGUGAUGAAGGUCUGCGGAUCGUAAAACGCUGUUAUUAGGGGAGAACGAAUGUGUAGGUAACUAUGCUCGUCUUGGCGGUACCGGAUCAGAAAGCCACGGCAAACUACGU
rnacentral:rRNA from 1 species